UUUAUGUGCCAUAAAAUGUACAAGAAAAUUGUUUCGAUUAUAUUUUACGUUUGUUACACGUUAAUAUUUAUAGGUGAGAUGGUGUAAGUUAGUAAUAUAAAAAAGUGGGAUUAAAGCACAAAACAGCAAGCUUUUCGGUGUCACCAACCGUUUCCUGCAAGUCACAAAAUUCAUGGAUCCAUGCAGCGACGUCUGCCAGGAUUUGGCUGCUGAUGAUAAGGAGCCAGUCUGUAUGAUCUUCAGCCGGUAUAAGAAAGGUUAUCAAUUCUUUGUUAAUCUAUGCCAUGCAAGGCGAAAUAUUUGCAAGGAAAAUACGGUAAUGCAUAUGGUACACUCAAGCAGAUGUCUGAAAAGUAGAUUGUUUUUCAUGCCAAUAAAUUAACGUGCUGUCAAUUUCCGCGACUGAAGCUGUUAUACAAAAAUAUAACAGAGCCAUACAAAAUUCUGUGCAACAUUUUAUAAAACGCUGAAAAUUUCAAGUACUUAUUGUAAACACAUGUAUAUAAAAGUUCGUUAUUUUGAAUAACGGUUGUGAGGUAAUUCAAAGACUCAUAUCAGAAUAGUUAAUUGUUUAAAUUUUGGCAUUAUUUAUAAUGUUAUGUUACGUACGAAGCGUUUUCGUUGCAAAUUAUACAAACUGGGACACACAUGAGCAAAUUAAAAAAAAUGGUCUUUUCUUGUCUCGGCACAAUAAGUUCUCAGGAAUUUAUCAUUAUUUUAAAGAUAACUAACGUCUAAACUGUACAGGCUGAAAAGUCAAUUUUGUCAUACAAAAGUAAAACAUUCCAGAUGGACCUGUAACAUCUGGAAUUAAGUAAUUUGGACAUGCUUUAGAUUGGAGGAAAAUUACUAUUUUCUAAUUCAAAUUCAAAAUCAUUUAUUCAUUAACACAAUGUACACUUAUGAACGUCAAUAAAGGAAUACAUUAAAAAAAAAUGGUAAACACUACAAUGCUCUCUUAAAUGCUAAAUGCUUCUAAUUUUACAUUUGCCGCUGUUCUCAAAUCAAGGGCGUAGAACGGAAGAGAAGAACUGGCAAUAAACUCUCAGCCACUAUUUUUAUCGCCUAGUUUUGUAAAAAACUGCAACCAUUACACCAUGCUCUACUGGAUAUACUAAGUAAUUAAUAGUUAUUAACAAUAAAAAAAAUGAUAAGCAGCAGGCAUGAUGUAAUAAGAGAACGCACUUUUUUCCCAAAAUGCUAUCCUAAAAAUGGUAUGACUAAAAUUUAUAUAAUAUUUCGAAAAUGGCGCCAAAAUCACUGCCAUAAAUAUUACAGAGCAAUCCCGUC